CCCCAGCCUCGCUGCUGCCUUGCAGUUUGAUCUCAGACUGCUGUGCUAGCAAUCAGUGAGACUCCGUGCUGUGCUAGCAAUCAGUGAGACUCCGUGGGCGUAGGACCCUCCGAGCCAGGUGCGGGAUAUAAUCUUGUGGUGCGCCGUUUUUUAAGCCGGUCAGAAAAGCGCAGUAUUUGGGUGGGAGCGACCCGAUUUUCCAGCAUUGGAAAUGGAUGGGGAGAAGGCCUGAUGAAAAUUACUGAGGAAGCCUCUUAGCCUAUGUGCUCUGAGAGUAGUGACACCUAGCAGUCGUUCAAAAGAUGAUCAAGAGGAGCAUGAAAAAAUCCCCUGAAUCCAUUGGCUUUCUUCCCUAUACUGACAACAGUUUACUUGUGUAAGAGAUGAGGGUCUCAUCCUUUUGCCCAGGCUGGAGUACAGUGGUGUGUAUGUAGCACACUGCAGCCUUCAACUCCUGAUCCUCCAACCUCAGCCUCCACAGUUGCUGGGAUUACAAGUUAGAGACGGAGUUUCACCAUGUUAGCCAGGAUGGUCUCGAUCUCCUGAUCUUGUGAUCCGCCCGCCUCG
rnacentral:lncRNA from 1 species